AUUGAACGCUGGCGGCAGGCCUAACACAUGCAAGUCGAGCGGAUGAAGGGAGCUUGCUCCUGGAUUCAGCGGCGGACGGGUGAGUAAUGCCUAGGAAUCUGCCUGGUAGUGGGGGAUAACGUCCGGAAACGGGCGCUAAUACCGCAUACGUCCUGAGGGAGAAAGUGGGGGAUCUUCGGACCUCACGCUAUCAGAUGAGCCUAGGUCGGAUUAGCUAGUUGGUGGGGUAAAGGCCUACCAAGGCGACGAUCCGUAACUGGUCUGAGAGGAUGAUCAGUCACACUGGAACUGAGACACGGUCCAGACUCCUACGGGAGGCAGCAGUGGGGAAUAUUGGACAAUGAGCGAAAGCCUGAUCCAGCCAUACCGCGUGUGUGAAGAAGGUCUUCGGAUUGUAAAGCACUUUAAGUUGGGAGGAAGGGCAGUAAGUUAAUACCUUGCUGUUUUGACGUUACCAACAGAAUAAGCACCGGCUAACUUCGUG
rnacentral:rRNA from 1 species